rnacentral:sRNA from 1 species
AGACGACGGAUGGUUCAUCUAGAUCGACAAAGGAGAACGUUUGCGUUUGAUCGUCGCUAUGAUAAGCAACAAGAUACUGUCCAUCCUCGGACGUUACGAUUCUUUCAAUCGACCCCCGCCCCAGAAAAAUGUUUUCGUUUUUAAACUGUGCUCGACGAACAGUUUCAUUGCGCCAAAGAUCAGGAUUCCGGAUCACCGUUAGAAGACUCGACAGCUCGUCAUAUACCACUAGGACCGUAUCGGCGUCGCGCUUAUAGGCAUAAAUUUGCGGUCGCCCGGUUGAUUCCUCGAGAUUUAGCAACGGUGCUGCGACCCCAGCGCCCUUCUCGAUUCGUCCGACUAGUAGUGGCGAACCUUUCGAAUCUUUUCGUCCGCGGCUAAGAAAGUAAAUAUCUCCGGACUCCCGCUCCGUACUCACCGAUUCGAUACGACCGUAAGGCGCGGCAUUCUGUGU